rnacentral:rRNA from 1 species
AACGAACGCUGGCGGCAGGCCUAACACAUGCAAGUCGAGCGAAGCCUUCGGGCUUAGCGGCGGACGGGUGAGUAACGCGUGGGAACGUGCCCUUUGCUACGGAAUAGCCCCGGGAAACUGGGAGUAAUACCGUAUGUGCCCUUCGGGGGAAAGAUUUAUCGGCAAAGGAUCGGCCCGCGUUGGAUUAGGUAGUUGGUGGGGUAAUGGCCUACCAAGCCGACGAUCCAUAGCUGGUUUGAGAGGAUGAUCAGCCACACUGGGACUGAGACACGGCCCAGACUCCUACGGGAGGCAGCAGUGGGGAAUCUUAGACAAUGGGGGAAACCCUGAUCUAGCCAUGCCGCGUGAUCGAUGAAGGCCUUAGGGUUGUAAAGAUCUUUCAGUGGGGAUGAUAAUGACUGUACCCACAGAAGAAGCCCCGGCUAACUCCGUGCCAGCAGCCGCCGUAAAAC